CAGCAGCCGCGGGAAUACGAAGGGUGCAAGCGUUACUCGGAAUUACUGGGCGUAAAGCGUGCGUAGGUGGUGGUUUAAGUCCGUUGUGAAAGCCCUGGGCUCAACCUGGGAAUUGCAGUGGAUACUGGGUCACUAGAGUGUGGUAGAGGAUAGUGGAAUUUCCGGUGUAGCAGUGAGAUGCGUAGAGAUCGGAAGGAACAUCUGUGGCGAAGGCGACUAUCUGGGCCAACACUGACACUGAGGCACGAAAGCGUGGGGAGCAAACAGGAUUAGAUACCCGAGUAGUCCCUGUCUCUUAUAC
rnacentral:rRNA from 1 species